UACGGGGGGGGCAAGCGUUGUUCGGAAUUACUGGGCGUAAAGGGCUCGUAGGCGGCCAACUAAGUCGGAUGUGAAAUCCCCAGGCUUAACCUGGGAACUGCAUCCGAUACUGGAUGGCUUGAAUCCGGGAGAGGGAUGCGGAAUUCCAGGUGUAGCGGUGAAAUGCGUAGAUAUCAGGAGGAACACCGGUGGCGAAGGCGGCCCUCUGGACGGUGACUGACGCUGAGACGCGAAAGCGUGGGGAGCAAACAGG
rnacentral:rRNA from 1 species